rnacentral:rRNA from 1 species
UCCAUGAGUAAAGUGGCGACCGGGUGAGUAACACGUGACUAACCUACCUUUUAGUGGGGGAUAACCUCGGGAAACCGAGGCUAAUACCGCAUAACAUCGCAAGAUCAAAGCAGCAAUGCGCUGGAAGAGGGGGUCGCGGCUGAUUAGCUAGUUGGCGGGGUAACGGCCCACCAAGGCGAAGAUCGGUAGCCGGCCUGAGAGGGCGCACGGCCACACUGGAACUGAAACACGGUCCAG